UACGAAGGGGGCUAGCGUUGUUCGGAAUUACUGGGCGUAAAGCGCACGUAGGCGGAUUUGUUAGUCAGGGGUGAAAUCCUGGAGCUCAACUCCAGAACUGCCCUUGAUACUGGCGGUCUCGAGUCCGGGAGAGGUGAGUGGAACUGCGAGUGUAGAGGUGAAAUUCGUAGAUAUUCGCAAGAACACCAGUGGCGAAGGCGGCUCACUGGCCCGGUACUGACGCUGAGGUGCGAAAGCGUGGGGAGCAAACAGG
rnacentral:rRNA from 1 species